UACGGAGGAUCCAAGCGUUAUCCGGAAUCAUUGGGUUUAAAGGGUCCGUAGGCGGGAUAAUAAGUCAGUGGUGAAAGUCUGCAGCUCAACUGUAGACUUGCCAUUGAUACUGUUGUUCUUGAGUGUUUAUGAAGUGGUUAGAAUAUGUAGUGUAGCGGUGAAAUGCAUAGAUAUUACAUAGAAUACCGAUUGCGAAGGCAGAUCACUAAUAAAAUACUGACGAAGAGGAGCGAAAGCGUGGGUAGCAAACAGG
rnacentral:misc_RNA from 1 species